GGCUGGGUAAAGUGUACUUUAUUGAUGGUACAUGACAAGGUAGGGCUCUUUAAGCCCCUCUCCUUCUUCAGGGGCUCGACGAUGGAUUUCAGCCCAGGAGAUUUUCAGUGUGUUGGCGGAUGAGUUGGGGCAAGGACUCCCCGGCAGCUGAGGGCUUCUCUCUUCCUCUUGUCCUCUCCCUGGGUCUGGGGAGUUCUCAUUCUUUGGAGGACAUGUGGACCAUAAGGUCUACCACCCGGAUGCUGUAGCUGAGUUCACUGUUGUACCAGGAAAUGAGCUUGACAAAGUGGUCCCUGAGAGCAAUGCCAGCCCCAGCAUCAAAGGUGGAAGAGUGGCUGUCACUAUUAAAGUUGCAGGAGACAACCAGGUCAGUGUAGCCCA
rnacentral:lncRNA from 1 species